rnacentral:rRNA from 1 species
CCUACGGGUGGCAGCAGUGAGGCAUAUUGGUCAAUGGGCGCGAGCCUGAACCAGCCAAGUCGCGUGAGGGAUGACGGCCCUACGGGUUGUAAACCUCUUUUGCCGGGGAGCAACGUGCGCCACGUGUGGCGCCACUGAGAGUACCCGGAGAAAAAGCAUCGGCUAACUCCGUGCCAGCAGCCGCGGUAAUACGGAGGAUGCGAGCGUUAUCCGGAUUUAUUUGGUUUAAAGGGUCGUUAGGCGGAUCGUUAAGUCAGUGGUGAAAUUGAGGGGUUCAAACCCAUCCCGCCAUUGAAACUGGCGCUAUUGAGUGGAAGAGAAGUAGGCGGAAGGCGUGGUGUAGCGGUGAAAUGCAUAGAGAUCACGCAGAACCCUGAUUGCGAAGGCAGCAUGCCGGCUUCCGACUGACGCUGAAGCACGAAAGCGUGGGGAUCGAACAGGAUUAGAUACCCUAGUAGUC